GACGAACGCUGGCGGCGUGGAUUAGGCAUGCAAGUCGGACGGUAGGGCUUUAUCGUAAGAUAGAGUUUGAGAGUGGCGAACGGGUGAGUAACACGUAGGAAUCUACCCUUAAGACGGGGACAACCCAGGGAAACUUGGGCUAAUACCGGAUGAGAGUGCGAGAGAUUGCAUUUAAAAGGAUGGCGAAAGUUGUCGCUUAGGGAUGAGCCUGCGGUCUAUUAGUUAGUUGGUGAGGUAAGAGCUCACCAAGGCGAUGAUAGAUAGGCGGCCUUAACGGGUGGUCGCCCACACUGGGAUUGAGAUACGGCCCAGACUCCUACGGGAGGCAGCAGUAGGGAAUUUUCCACAAUGGACGAAAGUCUGAUGGAGCAACGCCGCGUGCAGGAUGAAUGCCUUCGGGUUGUAAACUGCUUUUAUCUGUGACGAAUAUGACGGUAGCAGAUGAAUAAGGAUCGGCUAACUCCGUG
rnacentral:rRNA from 1 species